UCUCCACGAUGUAUCCCUACUCCUCUUCCUCGUCCUCCGCAGCGCUUGGCGAAGCCCUGCCGGAGAACUACAUAGCUCCACCGCCACCAUGCCAUCGUGCUGGCAGAGCUCUCCCUCAAAUUAUCUUCUCUCCUUGCUGGAUCAAGAAGGAGGAGACGUCACCGGGCUGUAUGUGUGUUGAACACGGAGGGGCCGUGUUUCGGCACAUAGAUCGGUAUCCACCGCGAUCUGAAUCGCUGCGAGUGCGACUCCAUCAACCGCGUUCAUAGCAACGCUUCCGCUUAGCGAUCUUAAAAGUUAUGAAGAUACUCUACAACCUCUCUCGUUGAUGUUUUCUCCAUAGAUAGAUCCUUGCAUGGCCUAGGAAAUUUUUGAAAUUAGUAUGAUCCCUAAGACUAGCCUUCUCUAAGGCAAAACUUGUUUCUAUGUUUGUACUCAGAUAUUAUUUGCUUUCGCUCACUUGUAUGUUUCCGACCUUAUAUAUUCGAGCCCUCGAGGCCCUGGCUUGUAAUAUGAAGCUUGUAUGACUUUAAUUUGUGUCUAGAGUUGUGUUG
rnacentral:lncRNA from 1 species